AUGGUUUUCAAGCUCCUCUACCUCCAAAGUUACUUGGGAUUGAGUGAAGAGACCCGGACCCCAAAUGCAGGGUCUGAGGACGGGAGCGGGCAGAAACCCCAACCUGGCUUCCUGCUGCACAGAGACGCGCACCUCCCCAAAGGGCAGGGGGCGCGGCCGCCCCGGGGUCCAGCUCUCCGGUGCCUCCUCCUGGCCCCCAGCCCAGCCCGGGCCCUGGGCCGCUUAGGGGAGGUGGCCUGGAGAGGGACGCGCGCUGCCGGGCCCAGUCAGGGGGCUGCCCCUGCCGGGGGCCACACUCCUUUCCAGCAUCCUCGACCACCACGACAUUGGCCCCGGGCAGCCCCCGCGCAUUACACAUCGGGGGCAGGAAGUUUUUCCCCCCUUUUUUCCCCUGGAGCAGCGCAGGCGCAAGGGCUCCUGCAGCCUUGCGAGUCCAGACGCGGGAGGCUCCAGCCGCCGCCGCCGCCGCCGCGGGAGCCGAGCCCAGCGUUCCGGGUUCUCGGGCCCCGUUCGCAAGCUCGGCCCGGCCCCACGCAGCCGCCAGGACGCUGGUUCCCGGCGCCGCAUCCUGGGCGCCCUAGCCUGGCUCUUACCUCCGGCCGCGCCGCUCUGGACCUGGCCCAACGCGCAGAGAGCCGGGGGUCGCGGGUGGGCGCAGGAGGGCUGAUGGAUAGGGGACGGCGCCGGCGGGUAGUGGUAGCUGGGGCCGCUCGGGUCCUGGCCGGGAGAAACGGAUCCAGGUCCACCUCCUCACGUUUCUGCUCUCCGCCUUCUCCUCCUUUUCCUUCUCCUCCUCCUCCUCCGCCGCCGCCUCCCGGCAGCCCAGGGAGGAUGCCCGGGAGAGGGAAGUCAGUCCUUCUGCCUGUCAGCCUGUGCGGCUAUGCGCGGCGCGGCGCGGCGCGGCUCUCACCGAGGCGGCGGCGGCGGCGGCGGCUCCGGCAGCAUCGCCCCCGCCCUCUCCCCGCAGCCGCGGCGGCCGCGGGGCUAGGCUGGCUCCGGGCUCCGGGCUCGGGCUCCGGGCGGGGGCUGCGCUCAGGCGCGGCGGCCGCCGGGGCUGCGGGCGGGCACUGCGGAGCAGGGGCCGGGGCUGGAGCUGCAGCUAGAUCCGCGGCGGCGGGGACGGCAGCGGCGGCGCGGGGGCUGGCGCGGCCGCGGCGCGGGGACCAUGCUCCCUUCUGGCUCGCUCCGCUCCGGGUACAGUCUGCUUUAGCUGCGAGGGAGGCGGGCUUCGGCGCGCAGCCAGGGGCGGGCGGAGCCAAUCACGGGCGCCCGAGUGGGCGGGGGUGGAGGGUGGGGGAGGCGGGGCGCCCCGGGCCGGGCACCCGGCGCGGCUCCCCGGGCCCGAGGGAUCCCCGGCAGCCGCGCUCCCGGCCCGGGGCGGAGUGCUGGCGGGUGUGUCCAUCCGUCUGUCCGCCGUCCCCGCCCCCCUGCGGUGGCUCCCGGCUCGCCUGGUUCGGCGGCCGCGCCCGGCAGAUGCACCGCGCGUGGCACCGCUGCUCGGCCCCGGCCUCCGCCCCGCCGCCCAGGGUUGGGGGACCGGAACCGACGCUAGCGAGCUCCCUGUCUGCUCUCAACACCUGA
rnacentral:lncRNA from 1 species